AAAUCAAAGUCUCGUUUUCGCUCUCUCUGGGUUCAUCUCCAUUCUCAAAAGGAUCGUUGCUUCAAAAAUCUUCCGAUUGUGCAAACAAUCAGCGAAGGAAUGGAUCCUGAAGCUCUAUAAAACAAUUUUUCUGGAGAUCCAUUCAGAAAUAAGAACAAAAUUCAACCAGACAACAAAUUUAGCAAGGGGUUUCAGUGUCAAGUUCAGCCUUAGUCUAUUCUGGAGAGUUUGGUGAAGUUGGAGGGCAUCAUGCAUGUAACCUCAUCAAAAUAACAAAAGAACAUAUAUUUAGGAACAAAAAGGUUUGAAGACCAUCUAGUCAGCAGCAAUGAAAAGAUUGUAUUCCCUGAAGAUCAGCUUUUGCAAAGACUGGUCACUCCAUCGCUUGCUCAGAAAUAUGAAGAACUAUACCGUCAAAAUGGGGUUAAGUUUGUCAAGGGAGCUUUGAUAAAUAACUUGGAAGCCGGUUCGGAUGGUUGUGUAUCAGCUGUUAAGCUCGCUGAUGGGUGUACAGUUGAGGUAGACAAGGGAGCUUCGAUAAAUAACUUGGAAGACGGUUCGGAUUGGUGUGUAUCAGCUGUUAAGCUCGCUGAUGGGUAUAAAAUUGAGGCAUACAAGGUUUUGAGAGAGGAGCUUGAUGCGUCUAAUCAAGUACUUCUAUGCUUCCUAGUGCAUAUUCUCUCUAGUUUCUGCAAAUCAUUAUUUCAGCGAAAGGACCGGAUCCCGAAGCUCUAAAAACAAAUUUUCUGGAGAUCCAUUCACUAGGCAAUAACAAAUAAAAGUAAGAUUUCGUGUUCUCUCUCUCCCUCUCUCUCCCUCUCUCCACAAAAAUGAGACAGACAAGUCCUCUGUUCUGGCUUGUUCUGCAAAUAUUUAACAUGUUUAGCCUCGUCAAUUCUUAUUAGAUAUGAUCCUAAAAGCACAAAACACAACACACUCAAACGUAAUUCAGAUACAUCUACACACAAAUUCAAACAGAAAACACAAGACAAUCAAAGCAUGCUCAAACAUAAUUCAAACACACAUGACACAUCUAAACACAAGACAAACAAAACACGCUCAAACACAAUUCAAACACACAUGACACAUCUAAACACAAAUUCAAAUAGAAAACAUAAGACAAACAAAACACGCUCAAACUUAAUUCAAACACAGAAAAGUAAGACACAAACACACAUAUAAACGCCUCAAAUUCAAAUAGAAACAUAACACAAACAAAACACAUUCACUUACAUAUUCAUUGUGGUGAAUUUUGCUUUUGAGCUCAUUGUUUUUUCUUAAAUUUUAAAGCAUCUAUUUUUAUGUGGUUGUUUCUCAAUAGUUAGACACUUUAUUUACUUUUAAAUUUAAGUCAAGUGUUAACCUCGAUUUUCUUUUUGUUGAUCAUGUGCAACUACUGUCAAAGCAAAAUUCAACCACACUACAUAUUUUGCAAGGGGUUUCAGUGUCAAGUUCAGCCUUAGUCUAUUCUGGAGAAGAGAUUGUCGCAAACACCUUGGAGAAUCUCAUAAACAUGAGACAGCCAAUAUAAUUCCUCAGUAAUUUUAGCUAAGAACAGCAUAUAUUUAGGAACAAAAAGGUUUGAAAACCAUCCAGUCAGCAGCAAUGAAGAAGAUUGUAUUCCCUGAAGACCAGCUUUUGCAAAGACUGUUCACUCCAUCACUUGCUCAGAAAUAUGAAGAACUAUACCGUCAAAAUGGGGUUAAGUUUGUCAAGGGUGCUUCGAUAAAUAACUUGGAAGCCGGUUUGGAUGGGCGUGUGUCAGCUGUUAAGCUCUCUGAUGGGUGUCAAUUGAGGGAGACACGGUACAGUUAUCUAUUAGUGAUAUUCUUUACUCUAUUCAGAUUUAAUACCUAACAAGAUUUAUCCAUCCUUAAGCCGCAAAUAUCUUGAGAACAGUGGUGCUCGAUGCGUCUAAUCAAACAGACUCAAAGACUUCACAAAAUGAGAUAGGAAAUAUCGUCUUAAUGAUACAUGUUAAGUUCUCAUGGCUUGUCAAACUAUUUGUGUCAAUUGUUGCCGGAGACUCUGCAGCAGUCCAACGCCCCAACACACACUUUACAUACAUAUUAACUACCUAACAAGAGGUAUCCAUCCUUAAGCUGCAAAGAUUUUGAGAACAGUGGAGCUCGAUGCGUCUGAUCGAGCUCAAAGGCUUCACAAAAUGAGAUAGCAAAUAUCUUCUCAAUGAUUCACGUUAAGACUUUGAAUUACUUAGUUCAAAUUAAAGAUAUGAGCUAGCAGCUCAAUUUUGCUCAGGAAUACACACUAUAUACAUAUUUUCUCCCUAACAAGAUGUAUCCAUCCUUAUGUCACAAAGAAUCUGAGAUCCAAGGGUAAGUGAUGAGUAAGGUGAAGUUUUCUCGCUCCUUAUGUCUCUUGUAUCUUGUCAAAAAUUCACAAAAAAACAAAACAUCGAAAACAAAAACAUACAACACCACCAAACAAAAACAACUUCCCGAAAACAUACAACACCACCAAAACAAAAACAACUUCACGAAAACGUACGACACCCCCAAAACAAAAAAACAACUUCACGAAAACGUACGACACCACCAAAACAAAAACAAGAGCAAAGCAAUUUACACGAAAAUAAAAACUCACGCAAAUAAAAAUUCACGUGCACAAAAUUCACAUACACGAAACAAAGGAACGAAAAAAAAAACCUAACAACAAUUUAUAGCAUUCAUGACCACGAGAAGUUUAUAUAAUAUGAUUGUUUACUAUACGGUUACAUGUAAAAUGUUUUACCAUUUGAAUACUUGUUCCUUUAUGAUUGUUGACUUGUCGUUGUUUUUAAUAUACAUAAACUUAUAUUUUUGUUGUUCUCUUGUGCGAGAAUUUUGUAAACAUUGUUGUUUAUUUGAUUAAUAAAAAGUAAAUUAAUUGAUCAA